rnacentral:rRNA from 1 species
CUCCUACGGGAGGCUGCAGCAACGAAUAUUCCGCAAUGGGCGAAAGCCUGACGGAGCGACGCCGCGUGGAGGACGAAGUCUUUCGGGAUGUAAACUCUAAUGGUGUGCUAGGAAGCAAGGGGACCUAAUACGUCUCUGAGUUGACCCGCAUACGAAAGGGGCGGCUAACUCCGUGCCAGCAGCCGCGGUAAGACGGAGGCCCCGAGCGUUGUUCGGAAUUACUGGGCUUAAAGCGCGUGUAGGCGGAACGGUAAGUACUUUGUGAAAGCCCCGGCUUCAACCCGGGAAUAGCUUGGUAUACUGCCGUUCUUGAGGCAGGUAGGGGUCACUGGAACCUUAGGUGGAGCGGUGAAAUGCGUAGAUAUCUAAGGGAACGCCUGUGGCGAAAGCGGGUGACUGGGCCUGUCCUGACGCUGAGACGCGAAAGCGUAGGGAGCAAACGGGAUUAGAUACCCCGGUAGUCUACGCUGUAAACGAUGCGCACUAGGUACAGGAGUCUCUGACGGCGCCUGUGCCGAAGCAAAAGUGUUAAGUGCGCCGCCUGGGGAGUACGGCCGCAAGGCUAAAACUCAAAGGAAUUGACGGGGGCUCACACAAGCGGUGGAG